rnacentral:rRNA from 1 species
AUGCCAACACCAAGGGUUGUUCAAGAGAGGCCAUUACCUUAUUCUGGGUUUCUCACUGCUGCCCAAGUGAUGCUCAACCAGACUAAUGCUAGUCAAGGUAGUCAAGCUAGCUCAAGCACCAUUAGGCCAGGUGAGUUGGCACAAAAGCUGGAGGCAAUGAAAAAUCAGAAAGAUAGGGAGUUGGAGGAGAGGAAGCAAGCCAUCCUUGCUUCUAGGAGGGAAGAAGAAUUGAAAAAAGCUCAAGACAUAGCAAGGAAGAAGCAUGAGGUAGCACAGAAGAAAGCAGAACUGGCUGAGAGAGGAAGAUUGGCUGCAUUGGAGAGGAGUGCCAAAAGAAAAGAAGAAGCAGAGAUAAACAAGAAAGCUCAAGCUGAGACCAAACAAAUUGUUGCAGAAACAAUGAAGACUAUAGCUGCAGAGAAAAAGGCAAAGCAAGAAGCUGAGAGAAGAGCUGCUGCUGAGAAGAAGGAGGCACAAAAGAAAGCAGACAGGGAAGCAGCUGCUGCAAAGAAAGAAGAGGAGAAGAGAAAGGCUGCUACACAGAGAGAAGAAGAGAAGAAACAAGCUGCUGCUAGGAAAGAAGAAGAGAAGAAGCAUGUUGCUGCUAAGAAAUAG